UUCGGAUGUCAGUGGCAGACGGGUGAGUAACACGUGGGAACGUGCCCUUCGGUUCGGAAUAACUCAGGCAAACUUGAGCUAAUACCGGAUACGCCCUUUUGGGGAAAGGUUUACUGCCGAAGGAUCGGCCCGCGUCUGAUUAGCUAGUUGGUGGGGUAAUGGCCCACCAAGGCGACGAUCAGUAGCUGGUCUGAGAGGAUGAUCAGCCACACUGGGACUGAGACACGGCCCAGACUCCUACGGGAGGCAGCAGUGGGGAAUAUUGGACAAUGGGCGAAAGCCUGAUCCAGCCAUGCCGCGUGAGUGAUGAAGGCCUUAGGGUUGUAAAGCUCUUUCGACGGGGACGAUAAUGACGGUACCCGUAGAAGAAGCCCCGGCUAACUUCGUGCCAGCAGCCGCGGUAAUACGAAGGGGGCUAGCGUUGCUCGGAAUCACUGGGCGUAAAGGGCGCGUAGGCGGCCGAUCAAGUCAGAGGUGAAAGCCCAAGGCUCAACCUUGGAAUUGCCUUUGAUACUGUUUGGCUCGAGACCGGAAGAGGUAAGUGGAACUGCGAGUGUAGAGGUGAAAUUCGUAGAUAUUCGCAAGAACACCAGUGGCGAAGGCGGC
rnacentral:rRNA from 1 species